UGAGGAAUAUUGGUCAAUGGGCGAGAGCCUGAACCAGCCAAGCAGCGUGCAGGAUGACGGCCCUAUGGGUUGUAAACUGCUUUUAUAUGGGAAUAAAGUGAGGGACGUGUCCCUUAUUGCAUGUACCAUACGAAUAAGGACCGGCUAAUUCCGUGCCAGCAGCCGCGGUAAUACGGAAGGUCCAGGCGUUAUCCGGAUUUAUUGGGUUUAAAGGGAGCGUAGGCUGUUUGUUAAGCGUGUUGUGAAAUGUAAGAGCUCAACUUUUAGAUUGCAGCGCGAACUGGCAGACUUGAGUGCGCACAACGUAGGCGGAAUUCAUGGUGUAGCGGUGAAAUGCUUAGAUAUCAUGAAGAACUCCGAUUGCGAAGGCAGCUUACGGGAGCGCAACUGACGCUGAAGCUCGAAGGUGCGGGUAUCGAACAGG
rnacentral:rRNA from 1 species